GCUGUCGGCAGGCCUUACACAUGCAAGUCGAGCGGUAACAGGGGUAGCUUGCUACCUGGUGACGAGCGGCGGACGGGUGAGUAAUGCAUCGGAAUCGUGUCCGAUAGUGGGGGAUAACGCUGGCGAAACCGAUGUGCUAAUACCGCAUACUUCUCUACAGGAGAAAAGCAGGGGAUCGUAAGACCUCCCGCUAUUGGAGUGAGCCGAUGUCGGAUUAGCUGGUUGGUGAGGUAAAGGCCUCACCAAGGCGACGAUCAGUAGUUGGUCUGAGAGGACGACCAGCCACACUGGGACUAAGACACGGCCCAGACUCCUACGGGAGGCAGCAGUGGGGAAUUUUGGACAAUGGGCGAAAGCCUGAUCCAGCAAUGCCGCGUGAGUGAAGAAGGCCUUCGGGUUGUAAAGCUCUUUCAGUCGAUGAAGAAAAGCAUUGUGAUGAAUACUCACAAGUCAUGACGGUCACUCGACAGAAGAAGCACCGGCUAACUACGUGCCAGCAGCCGCGGUAAUACGGAGGGUGCGAGCGUUAAUCGGAAUUACUGGGCGUAAAGGGUGCGCAGGCGGCUUUGAUAAGUCAGAUGUGAAAUCCCCGGGCUCAACCUGGGAAUUGCGUCCGAAACUGACAAAGCUAGAGUGUAGCAGAGGGGAGUGGAAUUCCAUGUGUAGCAGUGAAAUGCGUAGAGAUAUGGAAGAACAUCGAUGGCGAAGGCAGCUCCCUGGGUUAACACUGAAACGCUCAUGCACGAAAGCGUGGGGAGCAAACAGGAUUAGAUACCCUGGUAGUCCACGCCGUAAACGAUGUCAACUAGUCGUUGGGCCUUCCUAGGCACUUUGUAACGUAGCUAACGCGUGAAGUUGACCGCCUGGGGAGUACGGUCGCAAGAUUAAAACUCAAAGGAAUUGACGGGGGCCCGCACAAGCGGUGGAGCAUGUGGAUUAAUUCGAUGCAACGCGAAAAACCUUACCUACCCUUGACAUCGUAGCGAAUUUGGUAGAGAUACCUUAGUGCCUUCGGGAACGCUAGACACAGGUGCUGCAUGGCUGUCGUCAGCUCGUGUCGUGAGAUGUUGGGUUAAGUCCCGCAACGAGCGCAACCCUUGUCAUUAAUUGCCAGCUCAUUAGGUUGGGCACUUUAAUGAGACUGCCGGUGACAAACCGGAGGAAGGUGGGGAUGACGUCAAGUCCUCAUGGCCCUUAUGGGUAGGGCUUCACACGUGCUACAAUGGCGCGUACAGAGGGUUGCCAACCCGCGAGGGGGAGCUAAUCCCAGAAAGCGCGUCGUAGUCCGGAUCGGAGUCUGCAACUCGACUCCGUGAAGUCGGAAUCGCUAGUAAUCGCGGAUCAGAAUGUCGCGGUGAAUACGUUCCCGGGUCUUGUACACACCGCCCGUCACACCAUGGGAGUGGAUUUCACCAGAAGUGAGAUAGUCUAACCGCAAGGAGGGCGUUCACCACGGUGAGAUUCAUGACUGGGGUGA
rnacentral:rRNA from 1 species